rnacentral:rRNA from 1 species
AUACGGAGGAUCCGAGCGUUAUCCGGAUUUAUUGGGUUUAAAGGGUGCGCAGGCGGGAGAUUAAGUCGGCGGCGAAAUUUUGCAGCUCAACUGUAAAAGUGCCUUCGAAACUGGUUUCCUUGAGUGUAGAUGAAGUAGGCGGAAUUUGUGGUGUAGCGGUGAAAUGCAUAGAUAUCACGAGGAACUCCGAUUGCGCAGGCAGCUUACUAAACUACUACUGACGCUCAGGCACGAAGGCGUGGGGAUCAAACAGGAUUAGAUACCCUGGUAGUCCACGCAGUAAACGAUGAUUACUAGCUGUUUGCGAUACAAUGUAAGCGGCUGAGCGAAAGCGUUAAGUAAUCCACCUGGGGAGUACGUUCGCAAGAAUGAAACUCAAAUGAAUUGACGGGG